rnacentral:rRNA from 1 species
CCUUAGGCUGCCCCUCACUAAUCUUGUCUGAUGUCAGAAGAUAAGCAAGGCUGGGCCUGGUCAGGACUUGGAUGGGAGACCACCAAGAAAUCCCAGAAUUGUAGGGU